rnacentral:rRNA from 1 species
CACGUAGGGCGCAAGCGUUGUCCGGAAUUAUUGGGCGUAAAGAGCUCGUAGGCGGUCUGUUGCGUCCGCUGUGAAAACUCGGGGCUUAACCCCGAGCCUGCAGUGGAUACGGGCAGACUAGAGGUAGGUAGGGGAGAAUGGAAUUCCCGGUGUAGCGGUGAAAUGCGCAGAUAUCGGGAGGAACACCAAUGGCGAAGGCAGCUCGCUGGGACGGUACUGACGCUGAGGCGCGAAGGCUAGGGGAGCAAACGGG